rnacentral:rRNA from 1 species
AUUGAACGCUGGCGGCAUGCCUUACACAUGCAAGUCGAACGGCAGCACGGGAGCAAUCCUGGUGGCGAGUGGCGAACGGGUGAGUAAUAUAUCGGAACGUGCCCGGUCGUGGGGGAUAACGUAGCGAAAGCUACGCUAAUACCGCAUACGAUCUACGGAUGAAAGCGGGGGAUCGCAAGACCUCGCGCGAUUGGAGCGGCCGAUAUCAGAUUAGGUAGUUGGUGAGGUAAAGGCUCACCAAGCCGACGAUCUGUAGCUGGUCUGAGAGGACGACCAGCCACACU